UAUUUGAAUAUCGUUCAAGGUGCCGCAGUGCUUAAAAUGGGAAUCCCGUGGAAGUCGGGAGUGGUCCCGCCGCUGUAAUCGGGGACAAAAUUCGCGAAUACCACUGUUUGUGAAACACAAAUGGGAAGGUGCGAAUAGUAGGACGAUCCGAAAACCAGAAGACCUGCCUUGGACACGCCUGUCCU
rnacentral:ncRNA from 2 species